rnacentral:rRNA from 1 species
UGAGGUAGUAAGGUACACGCGCUUACCAUUGGCAGGAUAGUUAGGGCCUGAAGGAGUCCCACAUGUACUGAGAACCGACAGAUCCUACGGAGGCAGCAGUGAGGAAAUAUGUUCAUGGCGCCAGGCUGACCAGCAUGCGCGUGAGAAGAAGAUCUAUGUUGUAAACUUCUUUUAUUUGGGAAUAAACUCCUCUACGUGUAAGAGGCUGAAGUACCAAAUGAAUAGCACCGGCUAACUCCGUGCCAGCAGCGCGUAAUACGGAGGGUGCAAGCGUUAUCCGGAAUCAUUGGGUUUAAAGGGUCCGCAGGCGGAUUUAUAAGUCAGUGGUGAAAGCCUACAGCUCAACUGUAGAACUGCCAUUGAUACUGUAAGUCUUGAAUUCGGUCGAAGUGGGCGGAAUGUGUAGUGUAGCGGUGAAAUGCUUAGAUAUUACACAGAACACCGAUAGCGAAGGCAGCUCACUAGGCCUGGAUUGACGCUCAGGGACGAAAGCGUGGGGAGCAAACAGGAUUAGAUACCCUGGUAGUCCACGCCGUAAACUAUGAUUACUCGUUAUUGGCGAUAUACAGUCAGUGACUAAGCGAAAGUGAUAAGUAAUCCACCUGGGGAGUACGAUCGCAAGGUUGAAACUCAAAGGAAUUGACGGGGGCCCGCACAAGCGGUGGGGCAUGUGGUUUAAUUCGAUGAUACGCGAGGAACCUUACCAGGGCUUGAAAGUUAGUGACGGAUUUGGAAACAGAUCUUUCAGCAAUGACACGAAACUAGGUGCUGCAUGGCUGUCGUCAGCUCGUGCCGUGAGGUGUUGGGUUAAGUCCCGCAACGAGCGCAACCCCUAUCUUUAGUUGCCAGCGAGUAAUGUCGGGGACUCUAAAGAAACUGCCUCCGUAAGGAGCGAGGAAGGCGGGGACGACGUCAAGUCAUCACGGCCCUUACGUCCUGGGCCACACACGUGCUACAAUGGUAGGUACAGAGGGCAGCUACACAGCGAUGUGAUGCAAAUCUCGAAAGCCUAUCUCAGUUCGGAUUGGAGUCUGCAACUCGACUCUAUGAAGCUGGAAUCGCUAGUAAUCGCGCAUCAGCCAUGGCGCGGUGAAUACGUUCCCGGGCCUUGUACACACCGCCCGUCAAACAAUGGAAGCCGGGGGUGCCUGAAGUCGGUAACCGCAAGGAGCUGCCUAGGGUAAAACUGGUAACUGGUGUUAAGUCGUAACAAGGUAACCA